rnacentral:rRNA from 1 species
UACGUAGGGUGCAAGCGUUGUCCGGAAUUAUUGGGCGUAAAGAGCUCGUAGGCGGUUUGUCGCGUCUGCUGUGAAAACGCGGGGCUCAACUCCGCGCCUGCAGUGGGUACGGGCAGACUAGAGUGCAGUAGGGGAGACUGGAAUUCCUGGUGUAGCGGUGAAAUGCGCAGAUAUCAGGAGGAACACCGAUGGCGAAGGCAGGUCUCUGGGCCACUACUGACGCUGAGAAGCGAAAGCAUGGGGAGCAAACAGG